UCAAAGUUAGAUUAAAAUGAGAUGAUUGAUGGGUCAACAGUUAAAGAUAAAGAAACGGCCCUGGUGUGGUUUAAUGAAGAUGCAGACCAUGAAUUUGGAUCUUGUCAAGCUAAAGAACUUAUCUAUCAUCUUGAGAGUGUGCUCGCCAAUGAGCCCGUUACAGUGGAAAAAAGGGCAUAGUAUCGGGGUCAAAUUACAGGUCUCCAAAUGAAAAUAUUCGACUUGUGCACAUCGGAUAUAGCUGGGAAGUGUAGAUGUGUACAUGCUGGUUAUUUUGGGUUUUCAAAUCGUCCCAUAUUGGGUAACAGUUCAUGCUAAAUGUUAUUUUCAGUGGUGUAGGAUAAGGGUAAUUGAUAUGUUAA